GACGAACGCUGGCGGCGUGCUUAACACAUGCAAGUCGAACGCUGAAGCUUGGUGCUUGCACUGGGUGGAUGAGUGGCGAACGGGUGAGUAAUACGUGAGUAACCUGCCCUUGACUCUGGGAUAAGCCUGGGAAACUGGGUCUAAUACUGGAUACGACAUGUCACCGCAUGGUGGUGUGUGGAAAGGGUUUUACUGGUUUUGGAUGGGCUCACGGCCUAUCAGCUUGUUGGUGGGGUAAUGGCUCACCAAGGCGACGACGGGUAGCCGGCCUGAGAGGGUGACCGGCCACACUGGGACUGAGACACGGCCCAGACUCCUACGGGAGGCAGCAGUGGGGAAUAUUGCACAAAGGGCGGAAGCCUGAUGCAGCGACGCCGCGUGAGGGAUGACGGCCUUCGGGUUGUAAACCUCUUUCAGCACGGAAGAAGCGAAAGUGACGGUACGUGCAGAAGAAGCGCCGGCUAACUACGUG
rnacentral:rRNA from 1 species